GAACAGGUGCUCGAGCGGCUGAAGGCACCGGUUUUCCAGACCGACGUACCUCUUACAGCGGUACCGCGGGUUCGAAUCCCGCCCUGUCCG
rnacentral:tRNA from 2 species